rnacentral:lncRNA from 1 species
CUGGGGCAGCGGGUCGUGCGCGGCACGCAGGGCUAGCGGGAAGGCCUCGGCGAGCUUGGUGUUGUUGGGCAGGCCAUGCACGCGGCUGUCGGGCAGCGGCGUGCGGUGGCGGCACACCGGGCACGCGAUGGCGCCUGGCGGGCCGUGCCAGGGCGGCGGGCGCAGCGGGCGUUCAGGCGCGGUGGUAGCGGCGGCGGCGGCGCGGAGCUGCAGUUGGGUCAAGCACUCCUGGCAGAAGGUGUGCAAGCACGCCAGCAGCUUGGGCGCGCGCCGGUCUGCGUCGAAGUAGUUGUAGCAGAUCUUGCACUCGUAGUCCUCGAGCGGAGGGAGGCCGGAGAUCGCCACCGCUGCGUUCCGGGCUCCGGCCUCCCGACCGUCCCGGGCUCCCACCGCGGUGCUUCCUGCUCCUGUGGAGCUCCCAGGGCUGCUGGUUGGACUCUGCUCGCCGCCGCCGCUGUCGCUUGCCGGCGCUGCCAUGGCAUGAUCCGCCCCUCAUCAGGGUUAAGGCUGGUCCUCACCCUAAGAAGAGAGAGCCUCCCCAACCCCAAGAAGGAAGGGAAAGAGGAUGGCUCUCUGGGUCCCUGUGAGAUGGGAAUGUUCCCACUUUCUCUCUGGAUUCUCUGCAAAAGACAGCAAGAUACCCCAGGGGAUAUUGGUGGAAAAGAUGAAUGCAUAGGAAUCAAGCUGAAGGAAGAGAAAGAAGGAAAGAAAAGAAACCAGUGAAGCACAGAUGUGCAGACCAGAGGAGGAAUUGUCCUAACUAUUGUUCCUAUGACAAUUGAAAAUAAAUGUAGUUUUUACUCUGCGUGGCUAGAGAAU